UACGGGGGGGGCAAGCGUUGUUCGGAAUUACUGGGCGUAAAGGGCGCGUAGGCGGCUUUUCAAGUCGGGCGUGAAAUCUCCGGGCUUAACCCGGAAGGGUCGUUCGAUACUGUUGAGCUAGAGUGUGGAAGAGGCAACUAGAAUUCCGUGUGUAGCGGUGAAAUGCGUAGAUAUACGGAGGAAUACCUGAGGCGAAGGCGGGUCUCUGGGCCGAUAUUGACGCUGAGGAGCGAAAGCGUGGGGAGCGAACAGG
rnacentral:rRNA from 1 species